UUAACUUAUUUGCUUUUUUCUCGAGAUGCCAACGCAGAGAAACAGAAUGUGGUAUGCUGCCGGCGGGCGGACCCGCCGAAGCAACGCGUAUACAGUAAGGUUCACAGGGUGUAAGGAGUCUUGCGAGUCCUGUAAUGAUCCCUCCGCUGGUUCACCAACGGAGA
rnacentral:misc_RNA from 1 species